rnacentral:rRNA from 1 species
UACGUAGGUGGCAAGCGUUGUCCGGAUUUACUGGGCGUAAAGAGCGCGCAGGCGGUCGUUCAAGUCGCGUGUGAAAGCCCCCGGCUCAACUGGGGAGGGUCACGCGAUACUGAUCGACUCGAAGGCAGGAGAGGGUAGUGGAAUUCCCGGUGUAGUGGUGAAAUGCGCAGAUAUCAGGAGGAACACCGGUGGCGAAGGCGGCUUGCUGGGCCUUACCUGACGCUGAGGAGCGAAAGCGUGGGGAGCGAACAGG